rnacentral:misc_RNA from 1 species
GAACGCAUCUUGCGCUCCUUGGUAUUCCGAGGAGCAUGCCUGUUUGAGUGUCAUUUUAACUUCUCAACCAUAUCGAAUUGUUUUUCGAGGUGGCUUGGACAUGGGGGUUUUUGCAGGCUUCAAUAAUGAAGUCGGCUCCUCUGAAACACAUUAGUGGUAUCUGAAGCAGAACUGCUACUAUUAGGUGUGAUAAUUAUCUAUGCCUCUUGGUAUACUGCAUGAACAGAUUGCGCUGCUUCCAACUUGUACACCCUUUGGUGUUUGACAAAUUUGACCUCAAAUCAGGUAGGACUACCCGCUGAACUUA